AUACUUAAUAAAUUAAAUUCAAUCAAUAGGUGAAUGAUAUAUAUAUAUAGAGAGAGAGAGAGAGAGUUUGGUUACUAUACUCUUAUGAGUAAAGAAUUUUCUGUACUCAUAAAAUUUCGGUUGUUAGAUUUAUUCUUUUGACUAUUUUCAUCUGUUGAAUUAGACUAUCCUCAUAAGUUUUUAUAUAUAUAUAUAUAUAUAUAUAUAUAUAUAUAUAUAGAGAGAGAGAGAGAGAGAGAGAGAGAGAGAGAGAGAGAGAGAGAGAGAGAAUUAGGCUGGAAUACUAUUAAUAGUAAAACGUUCUUUUUGCUAUCAAGUUUUUAACCCUUGGAUGAAAAAUUAUAGAGUCAGAAUGAUAUUAGUCGGUUAGAGUUGAGUGGUCCCCCUAGGGUUGAGUGGUCCCCACUGGGUUAUAGUAUUUAAUCCAAUGGUUAGAAAUAAUGAAAAGAAUUGAUCCAAAGGCUGAAGAACUGGUAGCAACAAUGGAAUUUUGCUACUAAUAGUAGUCCAGUCCAACUCUCUCUCUCUCUAUAUAUAUAUAAACUAUCAGUAGGUUAAAAUCCUAAACUAUAU
rnacentral:lncRNA from 1 species